rnacentral:rRNA from 1 species
CUUAACUGCGAGAGUGACGGCUCGAGCAGGUACGAAAGUAGGUCAUAGUGAUCCGGUGGUUCUGAAUGGAAGGGCCAUCGCUCAACGGAUAAAAGGUACUCCGGGGAUAACAGGCUGAUACCGCCCAAGAGUUCAUAUCGACGGCGGUGUUUGGCACCUCGAUGUCGGCUCAUCACAUCCUGGGGCUGAAGUCGGUCCCAAGGGUAUGGCUGUUCGCCAUUUAAAGUGGUACGCGAGCUGGGUUUAGAACGUCGUGAGACAGUUCGGUCCCUAUCUGCCGUGGGCGUUGGAUGAUUGAGGGGAGCUGCUCCUAGUACGAGAGGACCGGAGUGGACGAACCGCUGGUGUUCGGGUUGUGUCGCCAGACGCAUUGCCCGGUAGCUAAGUUCGGCACAGAUAAGCGCUGAAAGCAUCUAAGCGCGAAGCUGGCCCCGAGAUGAGUCAUCCCUAGAGCUUCGAGCUCUCUAAAGGGUUGUUCUAGACUAGAACGUUGAUAGGCAGGGUGUGUAAGCGCUGUGAGGCGUUGAGCUAACCUGUACUAAUUGCCCGUGAGGCUUAACCAUACAACACCCAAG